rnacentral:lncRNA from 1 species
CCAUUGCCCUGAGGAUGCUUGGCCUGGAAGGCCGGUGCCUCACCCUAGAUUUGCACUUAGAGAGAGGUCCUCUGGACACAUCAUCCAGCUCCAGCCCACGCUUACAUCCUAAUGCCUGCUCUGCUUCUGGGCUUAGCUGCACCUGUUCAGUGCCUUGUGGUUCCACAGAAGCCCAAUAAACCGUAACCUCCCCACCAGGUGCGUUUCUACGUGGACUGACUCAAGACUCUACUCCUGCAGAACAGACCUGUGUCGCCCUGGACUUCCUUGGAUUUCCCAAGCUACCCAUGUGACCACUAAGCCAGACGCUAGGGGCUGGGGGAAGGGGAGAAAACUCAAGGCUGGCACUCUGCCAGGGAGACAGUACUACCAUAUGUGAAAUAGGUGGGGCACAGUUUAAGAAAAACCAAGGCCUUAGUGUAUGCUCACAAGAGGGCUGAUGGAAUGGGGAGAUGUUUCAUGGAAAAAGGUAAAACCUCUACGGAGUUAGUGACAAUAAUAACUGCCAUUAACCGAAGAUGUUCUCUGCCUUCUCGCAUGCAUUCCCCUCAGUAAUCUUGAGGAAUACGUGCCAUAAUUUCAUUUUACAAAUAAUCAAACAGAAGCUAAAAGAGGUAAAAUAAAUUGCCUAAAGUCACAAAGCUAAGCCCCCUUCCAGAUGCUUCCUAACUCUGUAGGUAGGUUUUAUUUGUUUGAUAGGAGUGAAGGGGCCAGUUACUGGUUAAUGUUUUACAAAUCACUGAUAAAAUGGAGGAGAAUAAAAUGCUCAAAAUAAAUAUAACAAAUCCAUGGGCUCAGUACUUUAAACUCUGUUUUUAAUGUGUAAACUGGAAUACUUUUCUUAUGUUGGAUAAAAAGGUAUGAUGAUAGCAAUUACAAAUUUUGUUUAGAUGAAAAAUCCAUAAAUUCAAAAUGAGUAAACUAUAGCAAUGUGAAAAUAACACAAUUAGAACUUUAAUAACAUUGCUUCUAUAUUUUUAGAUAUGGGAC